rnacentral:rRNA from 1 species
UGGGGAAUAUUGCGCAAUGGGCGAAAGCCUGACGCAGCAACGCCGCGUGAGUGAUGAAGGCCUUCGGGUCGUAAAGCUCUGUCGGAGGGAACGAAUGCUCCUGAAGUUAACAGCCUCAGGAGGUGACGGUACCCUCAAAGGAAGCACCGGCUAACUCUGUGCCAGCAGCCGCGGUAAUACAGAGGGUGCAAGCGUUGUUCGGAUUUACUGGGCGUACAGGGGAGCGUAGGCGGUUCGGUAAGCCCUUUGUGAAAUCUCCAGGCUUAACCUGGAAAAGUCGGAGGGGACUGCCGGGCUAGAGGACGGGAGAGGAGCGCGGAAUUCCCGGUGUAGCGGUGAAAUGCGUAGAGAUCGGGAGGAAGGCCGGUGGCGAAGGCGGCGCUCUGGAACGUUUCUGACGCUGAGGCUCGAAAGCGUGGGGAGCAAACAGGAUUAGAUACCCCUGUAGUCCCUGAGCGGGCUGGCAAGGCGCAU